CCUUCGGGUGGCUGCAGUGGGGAAUAUUGGGCAAUGGGCGCAAGCCUGACCCAGCAACGCCGCGUGAAGGAAGAAGGAUCUAUGGUUUGUAAACUUCUUUUAUAUGGGAAUAAAGUGAGGAACGUGUUCCUUUUUGUAUGUACCAUAUGAAUAAGCAUCGGCUAACUCCGUGCCAGCAGCCGCGGUAAUACGGAGGAUGCGAGCGUUAUCCGGAUUUAUUGGGUUUAAAGGGUGCGUAGGUGGUUAAUUAAGUCAGCGGUGAAAGUUUGUGGCUCAACCAUAAAAUUGCCGUUGAAACUGGUUGACUUGAGUAUAUUUGAGGUAGGCGGAAUGCGUGGUGUAGCGGUGAAAUGCAUAGAUAUCACGCAGAACCCCGAUUGCGAAGGCAGCUUACUAAACUAUAACUGACACUGAAGCACGAAAGCGUGGGGAUCAAACAGGAUUAGAUACCCCUGUAGUC
rnacentral:rRNA from 1 species